rnacentral:tRNA from 1 species
GGCCCAGUGGUCCAGUGGUAAAGCGCUCGUCGCGGAGCCAUAGGGUCCUGGGUUUGAUCCUCAACUGGGUCG